rnacentral:rRNA from 1 species
UACGAAGGGGGCAAGCGUUGUCCGGAAUCAUUGGGCGUAAAGAGCGUGUAGGCGGCCAGAUAAGUCCGCUGUGAAAUCUCGAGGCUCAACUUCGAGCUGUCGGUGGAAACUGUCUGGCUAGAGUCCGGAAGAGGAGAAUGGAAUUCCUGGUGUAGCGGUGAAAUGCGCAGAUAUCAGGAAGAACACCCGUGGCGAAGGCGGUUCUCUGGGACGGUACUGACGCUGAGGAGCGAAGGCGUGGGAGCGAACAGG